rnacentral:rRNA from 1 species
GACGAACGCUGGCGGCGUGCUUAACACAUGCAAGUCGAACGGAAAGGCCCUGCUUGCAGGGUACUCGAGUGGCGAACGGGUGAGUAACACGUGGGUGAUCUGCCCUGCACUUCGGGAUAAGCCGGGGAAACUGGGUCUAAUACGGGAUAGGAGCCAUUUUUAGUGGGAUGGUUGGAAAGUUUUUUCGGUGUAGGAUGAGCUCGCGGCCUAUCAGCUUGUUGGUGGGGUAAUGGCCUACCAAGGCGGCGACGGGUAGCCGGCCUGAGAGGGUGGACGGCCACAUUGGGACUGAGAUACGGCCCAGACUCCUACGGGAGGCAGCAGUGGGGAAUAUUGCACAAUGGGCGCAAGCCUGAUGCAGCGACGCCGCGUGGGGGAUGACGGCCUUCGGGUUGUAAACUCCUUUCGCUAGGGACGAAGCUUUUUGUGACGGUACCUAGAUAAGAAGCACCGGCUAACUACGUG